rnacentral:tRNA from 1 species
AAUGUAGCUCAGUGGUAGAGCACUUGGCUAACAUUUAUGAGGUUCUGGGUUCAAUCCCCAGUAUU